GCCAUGCAUGUCUAAGUAUAAGCAAUCUAUACUGUGAAACUGCGAAUGGCUCAUUAAAUCAGUCAUAAUUUAUUUGAUAGUACCUUACUACUUGGACAACCGUGGUAAUUCUAGAGCUAAUACAUGCUAAAAACCCCGACUUCGGAAGGGGUGUAUUUAUUAGAUAAAAAACCAAUGCCCUUCGGGGCUCCUUGGUGAUUCAUAAUAACUCAACGAAUCGCAUGGCCUUGUGCCGGCGAUGGUUCAUUCAAAUCUCUGCCCUAUCAACUUUCGAUGGUAGGAUAGUGGCCUACCAUGGUUUCAACGGGUAACGGGGAAUUAGGGUUCUAUUCCGGAGAGGGAGCCUGAGAAACGGCUACCACAUCCAAGGAAGGCAGCAGGCGCGCAAAUUACCCAAUCCCGACACGGGGAGGUAGUGACAAUAAAUACUGAUACAGGGCUCUUUUGGGUCUUGUAAUUGGAAUGAGUACAAUUUAAAUCCCUUAACGAGGAACAAUUGGAGGGCAAGUCUGGUGCCAGCAGCCGCGGUAAUUCCAGCUCCAAUAGCGUAUAUUAAAGUUGUUGCAGUUAAAAAGCUCGUAGUUGAACCUUGGGCCUGGCUGGCCGGUCCGCCUCA
rnacentral:rRNA from 1 species